CCUACGGGUGGCUGCAGUGAGGAAUAUUGGACAAUGGGUGAAAGCCUGAUCCAGCCAUCCCGCGUGAAGGAUGACGGCCCUAUGGGUUGUAAACUUCUUUUGUACAGGAAUAAACCUAGAUACGCGUAUCUAGCUGAAGGUACUGUACGAAUAAGCACCGGCUAACUCCGUGCCAGCAGCCGCGGUCAUACGGAGGGUGCAAGCGUUAUCCGGAUUUAUUGGGUUGAAGGGGUACGUGUAAGUCAGUGGUGAAAUCUCGCAGCUUAACUGUGAAACUGCCAUUGAUACUGCAGGUCUUGAGUGAAUUUGAGGUAGCUGGAAUAAGUAGUGUAGCGGUGAAAUGCAUAGAUAUUACUUAGAACACCAAUUGCGAAGGCAGGUUACCAAGAUUCAACUGACGCUGAGGGACGAAAGCGUGGGGAGCGAACAGGAUUAGAUACCCUAGUAGUC
rnacentral:rRNA from 1 species